rnacentral:tRNA from 1 species
GGAGUGUAGCCUAGAGGUAGAGCUUGUGCUUAGCAUGUGCAAGACCCUGGGUUCAAUCCCCCGCACCCA